rnacentral:rRNA from 1 species
AUUGAACGCUGGCGGCAGGCCUAACACAUGCAAGUCGAGCGGGGUUUUCGGACUUAGCGGCGGACGGGUGAGUAAUGCGGCGGAAGCUACCCGAUAGAGGGUGAUACCAGUUGGAAACGACUGUUAAUACCGCAUAAUAUCUACGUACCAAAGUACUGGACCUUCGGGCCCCACGCAAACGGAUGCGCCUACGUGGGAUUAGCGAGUUUGUGGGGUAAUGGCUCACCAAGGCGACGAUCCCUAGCUGGUUUGAGAGGAUGAUCAGCCACACUGGAACUGAGACACGGUCCAGACUCCUACGGGAGGCAGCAGUGGGGAAUAUUGGACAAUGGGCGCAAGCCUGAUCCAGCCAUGCCGCGUGUGUGAAGAAGGCCUUCGGGUUGUAAAGCACUUUCAGUAGGGAGGAAGGGUUAAGUGUUAAUAGUACAUAACUUUGACGUUAACUACAGAAGCAGCACCGGCUAACACUGUGCCAGCCGCCGCAGUAAAAC